GGUGUCUGUGAUUUCCCUGCCUCUCUGCAGCACUUGUGCUAUCUCACACACCAAACUCGGCCUUAAAUUCACCCCUUAGGCUUGGAUGUGCUACAUGCAAAAUGUGUGCUGGCUACCACACCAGGCGCUUUCUCAGCUGUUUCCUGAAGUUACCAGCAUGAAUCAGGGUCAGCACAUGUAUCGGCUGUACUUCUGCAGGGUGAUGGGGCUGUGCAGAGUCACUGGUAGGCAGUGCAGAUGCACACACUGAAAGAGGGUUCUGACACCCAAGACUUCCCUUCUAAAGAAACAGAAGUGGAGGAAGGGACAGGGCACACAGGUGCACACACAGAGCGUACCAUGAGCAUGUAUACAUGAGACACAGUCGAUUUACCAAGCCAUUCAACUCAAGCUGUGAUGUUAAUGCACCCAAACUACGGGAUACAGAGUGUGUUAAAUCCUCAGCCUCUGUUCCAGGUAGCCAUUCCAAGGCAUUAAUGGUCCAAAGAGAUGAGGGCAAGUUACUGUUCACACUUGUGCUGCUGUGAGCAAGAGAUAUGAUUUCAGAGAUGCAAAGGUGAUGUUGUCACUGAAACUGCCCUGGUUCUGUGUUGGAAGAGGAAUACUGAGACUUGUGGAGCUUGGCUGUAUCCCUGAUCAGGCGUAGUCACUGGAGGAGUACUCAGCAAUCAAGAUGAUGAAGCCAUCGGUCUGUGCUAAGCAGAGGGUGUGUUCCAGGCCAGUGUGCUACAACCAGGCUCAUCCCACGCUGCCUUUGUCACAGGAGGUGGCUGGAGUGGCACCUGCUGCCACCCCGUCCCUGCAGGAUCCCACCUGAGGCGAGGGGAAGGGCGAUG